GACGAACGCUGGCGGCGUGCUUAACACAUGCAAGUCGAACGGAAAGGCCCUGCUUUUGUGGGGUGCUCGAGUGGCGAACGGGUGAGUAACACGUGAGUAACCUGCCCUUGACUUUGGGAUAACUUCAGGAAACUGGGGCUAAUACCGGAUAGGAGCUCCUGCUGCAUGGUGGGGGUUGGAAAGUUUCGGCGGUUGGGGAUGGACUCGCGGCUUAUCAGCUUGUUGGUGGGGUAGUGGCUUACCAAGGCUUUGACGGGUAGCCGGCCUGAGAGGGUGACCGGCCACACUGGGACUGAGAUGCGGCCCAGACUCCUACGGGAGGGAGCGGUGGAGAAUAUUACACAAUGGGCGGGAGCCUGAUGCGACAACGCCGCGUGCGGGAUGACGGCCUUCGGGUUGUAAACCGCUUUCGCCUGUGACGAAGCGUGAGUGACGGUAAUGGGUAAAGAAGCACCGGCUAACUACGUG
rnacentral:rRNA from 1 species